rnacentral:rRNA from 1 species
UACGUAGGGUCCGAGCGUUGUCCGGAGUUACUGGGCGUAAAGGGCGCGUAGGCGGCGCGGGCAGUCAACGGUGAAAGCUCGGGGCUCAACUCCGAGUCGGCCGUCGAUACUCCCGUGCUUGAGCACUGUAGAGGCAGGUGGAAUUCCGGGUGUAGCGGUGGAAUGCGUAGAUAUCGAGAGGAACACCUGCGGCGAAGGCGGGUUGCUGGGCUGACACUGACGCUGAGGCGCGAAAGCUAGGGGAGCGAACGGG